AUACGUAGGGGGCGAGCGUUGUCCGGAAUGAUUGGGCGUAGAGGGCGCGUAGGCGGCCUGUUAAGUCUGGAGUGAAAGUCCUGUUUUCAAGAUGGGAAUUGCUUUGGAUACUGAUGGGCUUGAGUGCAGGAGAGGUUAUCGGAAUUCCCGGUGUAGCGGUGAAAUGCGUAGAGAUCGGGAGGAACACCAGUGGCGAAGGCGGGUAACUGGACUGCAACUGACGCUGAGGCGCGAAAGUGUGGGGAGCAAACAGGAUUAGAUACCCUGGUAGUCCACACUGUAAACGAUGAAUGCUAGGUGUAAGAGGUAUCGACCCCUUUUGUGCCGGAGUUAACACAAUAAGCAUUCCGCCUGGGGAGUACGGCCGCAAGGUUGAAACUCAAAUGAAUUGACGGGG
rnacentral:rRNA from 1 species